rnacentral:piRNA from 1 species
UUGAACCACAGGUGCACUUCUUGAAAGGGG